rnacentral:rRNA from 1 species
ACGGGAGGCAGCAGUGGGGAAUCUUGCGCAAUGGCCUAACGGCUGACGCAGCGACGCCGCGUGAGGGAUGACGCUCUUCGGAGUGUAAACCUCUUUUGCCUGGAACGAACCAUCAGCAUUUGCUGAUUUGACGGUACCGGGUGAAUAAGCACCGGCUAACUCCGUGCCAGCAG